rnacentral:rRNA from 1 species
CCUACGGGAGGCAGCAGUGGGGAAUAUUGGACAAUGGGCGAAAGCCUGAUCCAGCCAUGCCGCGUGUGUGAAGAAGGUCUUCGGAUUGUAAAGCACUUUAAGUUGGGAGGAAGGGCAGUAACUUAAUACGUUGCUGUUUUGACGUUACCGACAGAAUAAGCACCGGCUAACUCUGUGCCAGCAGCCGCGGU